AUUGAACGCUGGCGGCAGGCCUAACACAUGCAAGUCGAACGAGUGGCGGACGGGUGAGUAAUGUCUGGGAAACUGCCCGAUGGAGGGGGCUAACUACUGGAAACGGUAGCUAAUACCGCAUACCAUCGGAUGUGCCCAGAUGGGAUUAGCUAGUAGGUGGGGUAAUGGCUCCCCUAGGCAACGAUCCCUAACUGGUCUGAGAGGAUGACCAGCCAAACUGGAACUGAGACACGUUCCAGAUGCCUACGGGAGGAAGCAGUGGGGAAUAGUGCACAAGGGGCGCAAGCCUGAUGCAGCCAUGCCGCGUGUAUGAAGAAGGCCUUCGGGUUGUAAAGUACUUUCAGCGGGGAGGCGUUACCCGCAGAAGAAGCACCGGCUAACUCCGUGCCAGCAGCCGCGGUAAUAC
rnacentral:rRNA from 1 species